rnacentral:rRNA from 1 species
GACGAACGCUGGCGGCGUGGAUUAGGCAUGCAAGUCGAACGGUAUCAUCCUUUCGGGGGUGAGAGAGUGGCGAACUGGUGAGUAACACGUAGGUUAUCUACCCUCAAGACGGGGACAACCCAGGGAAACUUGGGCUAAUACCGGAUGUGAGCAACUUUUAGUUGUUUGAAAGGUGGCGUAAGCUGUCGCUUGGGGAUGAGCCUGCGUCCUAUUAGUUAGUUGGUGAGGUAACGGCUCACCUAGGCAAUGAUAGGUAGGCGGCCUUAACGGGUGGUCGCCCACACUGGGAUUGAGAUACGGCCCAGACUCCUACGGGAGGCAGCAGUCGAGAAUAGUCUACAAUGGUCGGAAGACUGAUAGUGCGACGCCGCGUGAACGAUGAAUCCCUUCGGGUGUAAAGUUCUUUUAUAUGUGAGCAGUGCUUCUUAUAUUAACAGUAUGGGGAGAGAGAUAUUAGCAUAUGAAUAAAGCAACGGCUAACUCCGUGCCAGCAGCCGCGGUAAACUCGU